CUCAAUAACACAAAUGACCUGCCUCUGUUUGAGCUCAGCCCCUGUGACAGACACUGCCCUCAACCUAUCAGAGGUGAGCACGCAGCCCCACCCAACCAAUGGGAAGCUAGCUGGAUGAACUACAAGGUGCAAAAACACAGAACAAAAAAGGCAGAGAGACACACACAGAAAGAGGAGUCUUGAGAAGGUAAAGAUAAGACAGCAACACACUGGCGUGGGGAAAGAAGUAAGAGCGACAGGGCCAGAGCCACAGACGAAGGUGACCAGGACCUCACCAAAUGACGAGACGCUAGCCAGCAGGAAGAUAAGCCGGAGUGCUGUGAUGAGCAGCAGGAACUCACAGGGGCCAUAGCCGUGUGUGUGGACAUGCCUCCUUGUAUCUGGAAAGAGAGGGAGAGAUUGUGGAUUCAUCACAUUGUGCCAAGAUGUCAAGAGCAGCCAAGAACCUUCAACUUAUGAUUCCUUACGAUAAAGCAUUGUGAUUCUGCUUUGAGUAUUUUUGCAGGGAGCUGGGCGUGGUGAUCUGGUUCCCUCUUCCCGGCACUCCACCUGCACACCUGCAGCCACUUACUUUCAGCUCUCCCACUCCAUCGCUGCCAGGAGAUUGUGACACUCUUCACGCAGAGUCUGAGAGACAGCGAGCAGCUUGUCAACACUGUUCAUUUCUGCCUUUGAUGUCUCCCGGAUGAUCGGCUGCGAGCUUGUCGACUGUGACGACUCCGUCUCUGCUAAACUCCAAAUGACUCCAGCUAUCACAGAGCUCUAUUCACCAAUCAUCAUCAGCUGCUCCUGUACGCCAUCAGCCCCUCAUUCACACUCAGGAUGUCUGAAAAACUAAUAAUGAAAAGGCAGAAAAUACAAGAGAUGUCCAUGACACCUUGAAGAAAGUGACAUUUACUGGGACUGAUGUACAAAUGAAAACAGGCUGCAGUUCUUUGGAAUAGAAACUCGAAAUCAAACUCUGGUGACCUUGACUUGACCUCAAGCACAGAGCUUUGCUACUAACCAUGAGGACAUCUUGUGUGUGUGUG